AAUUGUUGUGAUGAUUGGCAAAAUGUUCAACUGCUCUGAAGAGAGAGUGAGUGAGAAGAGCCUUUCUGAACAGAU
ensembl:snoRNA